AAAAAGGCUCUUUUCAGAGCCACUUACACUGUCGUGGGAGAGAGCU
rfam:Cavia porcellus supercont2_108 genomic scaffold, whole genome shotgun sequence.